rnacentral:rRNA from 1 species
GUGAGGAAUUUUGCGCAAUGGGGGCAACCCUGACGCAGCGACGCCGCGUGGAGGACGAAGUCUUUCGGGAUGUAAACUCCUGUCAGUGGGGACGAUAAUGACGGUACCCACAGAGGAAGCACCGGCUAACUCCGUGCCAGCAGCCGCGGUAAGACGGAGGGUGCAAGCGUUGUUCGGAAUUACUGGGCGUAAAGCGUAUGUAGGCGGCGAGUUAAGUUCAAUGUUAAAGCCCACGGCUCAACCGAGGAGAUGCAUUGAAUACUGGCUAGCUAGAGGGUGUUAGAGGAAGACGGAAUUCCCAGUGUAGCGGUGAAAUGCGUAGAUAUUGGGAGGAACAUCGGUAGCGAAAGCGGUCUUCUGGGACAUACCUGACGCUGAGGUACGAAAGCGUGGGGAGCAAACGGGAUUAGAAUCCCUAGUAGUCC